rnacentral:rRNA from 1 species
CCCUUAGAUGUUCUGGGCCGCACGCGCGCUACACUGACUGGUGCAACAAGUGUCUGACCUUGGCUCGAGAGGCCUGGGCAACCUUUGAACGCCAGUCGUGCUGGGGAUAGAUUCUUGCAAUUAUUAAUCUUCAACGAGGAAUUCCUAGUAAACGCAAGUCAUCAGCUUGCAUUGAUUACGUCCCUGCCCUUUGUACACACCGCCCGUCGCACCUACCGAUUGAAUGGUCCGGUGAAAUCCUCGGGACGGCGGCUUGGUCGCUUGCGUCCGACUGCUGAAACUUGAUUAAACCAUAUCAUUUAGAGGAAGGUGAAGUCGUAACA